rnacentral:rRNA from 1 species
CCUACGGGAGGCUGCAGUGAGGAAUAUUGGUCAAUGGUCGCGAGCCUGAACCAGCCAAGUAGCGUGAGGGAUGAAGGCCCUGAGGAUUGUAAACUUCUUUUGUCAGGGAAUAAAGUGAGGCACGUGUGCCUUGUUGUGUGUACUUUAUGAAUAAGGAUCGGCUAACUCCGUGCCAGCAGCCGCGGUAAUACGGAGGAUGCGAGCGUUAUCCGGAUUUAUUGGGUUUAAAGGGUGCGUAGAUGGGUUGUUAAGUCAGUUGUGAAAGUUGGGGGCUCAACCGUAAAAUUGCAAUUGAUACUGGCAGUCUUGAGUACAGUUGAGGUAGGCGGAAUGCGUGGUGUAGCGGUGAAAUGCUUAGAUAUCACGAAGAACUCCGAUUGCGAAGGCAGCUUACUA